ACGCCAUACUCGCCUUGAAUGCAAAUCUAUGGCUCCUCUCCCCCCAGCGCCGCAGCCAUUUUCGCCAAGAGGAGAGAGGGAGCGAGAAGAAGAACAGGCGAGACGACGCGCCAUGGAGUUCCUCCUGCAGCCAAUCUGCAGAUCCACUAUUUUUGAGGUCGGAAGAGUCUCGUGCCGGAAGAUUUGCCGGUAGAUGGGACAAGGCGAAUGGUGGUGGAGGUGGCGCUGCAGGAGGGUAUGGUUUUGAGCGGGUCUGCUGGGCGUCAGGAGCGGCGGCGAUGCGGCCAAUGACGAAUCUGCAGCGCUGCACCGGCAGCGGCGAUGAGCGGCGAAGGUCCGAUCUGCAGCGAGGCGCUGAGGGCAGCGGUGAGAAAGGACAGCUCGCCUCCCAUGUCUGAGCUGUCAACGUGGAAGAUGAAUCCCCAGGCUCCUGGUUCGAAUAAGAGGUUGCUGGUUAUUGAUAGUUUAAUCUGUGAGUCCCGCAUUAAUUCCUGAUAGCAUGAUUGCUUAGUGCUGCUCCUAUGAAGAAUUUGAAGUAUUGAAUUGUCAGGCCGUCUAUGGGCAUGCAUUGUUGCUUAUGAUUUUUUGUUCUAGUAAUACAUGGUUUAAUGUAUUGGUUACCGUAGUUUGAAUUGUAAAUUUGUGGUUGGUGGAUUAGAAUGGUUGACAGAACCAUGUGUGAUCCAUUAUCCGGUUGCGGAUUGGUGUUGCUGGCCAAGCAGGGCACCUUGUCCAACCCGUGUAAGAGCGUUCGAGAAGGCAGUGAGGGUGUUCGCGGUAAAGCCGACGAUUUCUACACCGUGUAUUCAUGGGAGAAGGGAUUUGGGAUUAGAUAUGGGUAAAGUCGGCUAAAUGUGCAGAGAACAAAGUGCAUGCAGGAAAUUUUCUACAGAUGUUCGGGGAAAGCUCGUGUGGAGAGCACAAUGUUCUGUCGAUGUGAAUGCCCAGGAUUGAUAAGGCUUUUAUAGACAGAGGACAAUGGGUGGUAUAUCGCCGAGCAAUGGGAGAGUCAUAACCAUUCACUUUUGCCAAAUUUCGGUGAGACAAUCCACUGGCCGUCCCACAAGCACAUUUAUGUGUACAGGAGGGACCUGAUAAAACACUUGCGGCAGAAUAAUGUCAACCUUGCGAAGGUGUAUAGCACAGUAGGCAGUUUUUUUGGAUCGUUGGAAAAUGUGCCAUUCACGAAGAGGUCUUUGUGUAAUCUGUGUGGCAUGAUUAGCAGGAAACAAUCAGAUGAUGAUGUAAGGAAAACGACGGAGGUGUUUGCAGAAAUUGGAGCAAAGGACCUCAUUUCACAUGCAGAGUUCAGGCUGACAAAGAGGGCAGGAUCAAGAACCUUAUGUGGGUAAGCGGGAGCAGCAGGUUGCAGUACACGUUUUCGGUGAUGUGUUAACAUUUGACACAGCCUUUCGGCCUUGGUGUGAAUAAUCAUUUCCAGAGUGUUAUCCUGGCUGGAGUGCUUGUGUGUGAUGGAACCAUCAAGAGUUUUGAAUGAGUUUUCUCUGAAUUUCUGAGAAUGAUGGGUGGCGCUGCACCGAUAACUAUACUUACCGGUAAGUUCUUCAUUUCAUGGCUGUCAUUUAUAUGGUGGUGUUUUCAAGGCCUAAAAAAUAUGAUCAAUGUUGACUUUUAAGAAGUUGCUGCAGCUACAACACUUUGCCUCCUUGCCUAAUGGCCCAAGAUCCACACAUAGGUACAUGUUGCUCCUUUGCCUUUUAAUCCAGGAAAGUGAAAUAACUAGUUUAGGUUUUGUGAUAGAUUUAGCAAGUGUGAAUUUCGUAUUACUGUGACAUAGUUAGUAGGUGUGAAUUUCAGACUAGUGUAUGUGUGAAUUAGAGAAUAUUUGACAUGGAUUCAGAUUAGUGUGGGAGUUCUUUGACUCCAUGUUGUGUAAAUGUUAGUUUUGUUAGCUAGAUGAUGAUGGUCCAUGCCUGACAAUCCUGUAUGUUGCAUGUACUACCCAUGUUUUGAUAGAGAAAAAGGAAAAACAAUGAGUUAUUGUUGCUGCCAUGAAACCCCCAAUAUGAAUGGCAUUCAUGAAAUUACACAGAGAAACUUCUCGCAUUAGCAACACUGAGUUGUGAAUUUCUUCUUCUUAUUAACAACAGAUGUAUCUGUCUUGUCAUCAUAAAAUAAAAUUUGGACCGUCAUGGGUCAUCUACUCUCUGUGUGUAAUAGUAACUUGGACAGACAGAGGGUGAACUGAGAUGGGGCUUUGUAAUAGUACAUAUAUUUAUAUACAGGAGAGCUUAAGAAGCGCCAGUGACUGGUUAUUAAUACUACUAGAUGUAGUUGAUUUUCAGGUUGUCCGUCAAUGUUUUAGUCUUUUAGUUAUGUUGUUGGGUGCUUGUACUCUGCCUCAAUUGUUCUGCCACAAAGCACAAGCAAGCUGCGGUUUCUAGUGUGAGAGUCUACAAUGCUAGUCAUCUUUAAAAUGUUUUCAUUUUUAGCUGAGAUAUAUUGUCACUAUAGUACUCCUUCAGUACAUAAACCUGCCAUGGAAAUGUUUGAUUGCAGCCCAGAAAUCAGCCUUGCCAUGUAGUAACAUGCAAACCAUAGUUCAGCCACAAUAUGUAGGGAAAUGUUUGGUUAACAGUAUUUUUUUUCUGGAGAAAUAGCCUAGCAAGGACAAUGGAACUAGUAAGAAGAAAAUGGCUGCGCAAAAGUUUCAUCACUUAAUUUACUUUUCGGCGUUCUGAAGUUGUAGAGCACACGACCAUUAGUCAUGCGCACUGCUGCUGCAAUCUCUUUUGGUUCUUCCUGAAAGUCUAAAGAAUUUCACACGUCAAACAGCUUGUCCACUAGUGCCUUGUCUUUGUAUCUUUCUCCUGAUUACGAAAACGCUUAUGAGCAUCCAAGAAUGGUACUACUGCUAGAAACUUAGCACGAUCAUCCUGAUUUUCUGUUUUUGAUACAGUAAUGGUGUCGUCUUUUGGUUGUUCUCCUUUGACAUAACAAUGAUGUUGGUUCUCUUUUGGUUGUUCUACAAUAGGCAUUUUGCAAGGCAUGUAGACAAGUCGAUCCCCCUUUUCAUUCUAGCAUGAUGCACUUUGUUGGAAUUCUGAAGAUUAAUGUGUCAUUAGUGCUCCUAUGAAUUCUGAAGCAAAACAAUAGGCAGCAAGAAACCAAGCAUCACCCUGGUUGUCCUAUGAAUUCUGAAGAUUAAUGUGUCACGAGUACUCUGUACUCAUAUAUGUGGAGUUGUCAGCAUUGAGGGCAUUAUCUAAAGAUUAUUAUUCUGCUAUUCCAUCUAAACUGUAGUUACCUUAUUCUGCAAUGUUCAGGGACCAUGCUGUAAUUUUGUUUUUCUUACGGGUCUUUGUGCAAGCUGUACUGAAUUUCCAGAUUUAAUAUAAUGCAGCUCCAGCCGAUGCUAUAUGUUAUGGGAAUUUUCAGGGACCA